rnacentral:rRNA from 1 species
UUCCGGUUGAUCCCGCCGGAGGUUACUGCUAUCGAGGUUCGACUAAGCCAUGCGAGUCGAAUGUAGCAAUACAUGGCGUACUGCUCAGUAACACGUGGAUAACCUACCCUUGAGAUGGGAAUAAACCCGGGAAACUGGGUAUAAUACCCGAUAGAUCUCGACUGCUGGAAUGCAUCGAGAUCCAAAGCUCCGGCGCUCAAGGAUGGAUCUGCGGCCUAUCAGGUAGUAGUGGGUGUAGCGUACCUACUAGCCUACGACGGGUACGGGUUGUGAGAGCAAGAGCCCGGAGAUGGAUUCUGAGACACGAAUCCAGGCCCUACGGGGUGCAGCAGGCGCGAAAACUUUACAAUGCUGGAAACAGCGAUAAGGGGACCUCGAGUGCCAGGUUACAAAUCUGGCUGUCGUGAUGCCUAAAAAGCAUUGCAUAGCAAGGGCCGGGCAAGACCGGUGCCAGCCGCCGCGGUAACACCGGCGGCUCGAGUGGUAACCGUUAUUAUUGGGUCUAAAGGGUCUGUAGCCGGCCGGAUAAGUCUCUUGGGAAAUCUGGCAGCUUAACUGUCAGGCUUUCAGGAGAUACUGUCUGGCUCGAGGCCGGGAGAGGUGAGAGGUACUUCAGGGGUAGGGGUGAAAUCUUGUAAUCCUUGAAGGACCACCAGUGGCGAAGGCGUCUCACCAGUACGGACCUGACGGCAAGGGACGAAAGCCAGGGGCACGAACCGGAUUAGAUACCCGGGUAGUCCUAGCCGUAAACGAUACUCGCUAGGUGUCGGCAACGGUGCGACCGUUGUCGGUGCCGUAGGGAAGCCGUGAAGCGAGCCACCUGGGAAGUACGGCCGCAAGGCUGAAACUUAAAGGAAUUGGCGGGGGAGCACCACAACGGGUGGAACUUGCGGUUUAAUUGGAUUCAACGCCGG